AGAAAGGAGUCAGGGCUCUGGAAAAAUUCAUCCAUUAAAAAAUUAAAAGAUGCUCUCAACAACUUCACCUCUUUUCUGCUGUCUGAAAACAGUCUUGUUAAGCCAUGUAAAUCAGGAGUAAGGCACUAAUCCUUCACCUGCAGCACGGAGCUAAGGGGAUAACAAGCAGAGUGUGGUGCUGGCUCAGAAGAAAAUAUUGCAAGAGUCAUCCUCACAGUGGCUGCUCACAAGUGCUGUAGGAGAGAAAACCCUGCUCAUCCAUCAGCAAAUCAUACAAGCAAACUGAGCUUGUUUGGGACCAUGGAGACGUGAAGAGAAGCAGACAGGCAAAAAUGAGAUGGAAGAUCUAGCAGGGGCUGUUUACUAGAAAAAAAUUAAAUAAAGGAGCUGCAGCCCCUGUUCCACAUCUUUGAUUAAA